rnacentral:tRNA from 1 species
GCCCUCAUAGCUCAGUCGGUAGAGCGCAUUCUUGGUAAGAAUGAAGUCAUGGGUUCAAUUCCCAUUGAGGGCU